GGUAUAAAUUUAGCAACACUACAACAAAAACCGCUCUAUACCAACAAAUAUCUAGCAACGGAGAUGGCAUAUGCGUUGGCGGGCCCUGGACUCCACCUUCCCACCUCCCCACGAAUAGUUAACCUCCUCUCUUAAAUGUAAAAAACCUCCUCUCUCUGCCCACCUCCUCCUUAAUUAUCUACACCUCCACAUCGCACGGCCAAGCAUGUGAAAAAGGGGGGCAACACGAACUUAUCUUAUUGCGGGCCACCACCACAAAUCCUCCAUCGAUCUCACCAGAUCCACCGCCGCCGCCGCUCCAAAUCCUCCAUCUAUCUCAUCUGAUCCACCGCCCCGGCGCCGUUGGCUUGGCACCGCAUCUAGGUUUCCCCACUUGAUUCGUGAGUUUCCCUGCCAUGCCCACCGCCGGCACCAUCACGCUCUCCCUGGAAGCCCCGCUCCCCUCGCUCCAUUUUUACAGUCACCGCCCGGAACAACUACAAGACGAAGACACACAAGCCAAGGUGUCGGAGAUGCGGUUCAGGGCGACCGGGAUGGGAUGGGGAAGGUUAUGCGGCGCUACGCCGGGAGGCAGCAUCUACUCCGCUAGAAGAAGGCUAAGCAAAUGCAAGGGGCAGGGUGCUACUCAAUGGGCCGACAAAGCGGAGGUUCCGUUGCGGUUCCUAGAUGCACAACAGCGGUGCGGAGACUCACAUAUGCACAAGCCUGGGGUGAUGACUGCGAGAUGUACAGAAGUGGCACGGCCGCUCUACAGCGAUGGUUUGUAGUGCAGUACGGUCAGUUAGCCAUCCGCCUGAUCCCAUCCAAUUCAGUACCAUAGCUCAGUCACCUAGGCUGAUAUAUCCGUUCAUAUUUCUAAAGCCACAUUGAUGCACGCAUCUAUGAUUAGUGGUUGGCAUUUACUGUAGUUUUUUAUGGCUCUCUAUGGUUUUGCGUUUCUUGUAUGUAUAUUGAUUUAUACUUCUUGAUAGGAACUUAGCCAUAUUCCUACAUUACAAUGCAAGAUGCAGCCGCUAGAAGGUUAUACGAAUAUUACUAGGUGUAGCAGCAGCUAUUAAUUUUGUACUAGUAUAGUUGUUCAGCCAAGUAGGAAAAGUUAGAUGCAUGUAUAUGUAUGAAACUGACUAUGCAGUAUUCAAGUUUCCAGCAAUUUUUUCAUUGAAAAAAACUAAUCACUGUUGAAAAAGUACCUUUCAAUUUUGACAGUAAUCUUUUACUAGAAACUCUGAACCAUCUCGCCCGACAAAAUUUUAUCUAUUAUUAAAUAUAUUGGCAAGACCAAAGUGCAUCCAUUUCUUAGUAUUUUAGAUUAUCUUAAGAGAGUUCAUAUUUAGAGAACCAUUUGGUCUCGAGACCUUUGUGUUAGUAAUGAUGUUCUCUUGACUUCUCCAUUCUAACCAUGGUAUUGGCUUAUGGAGAUCAUAGUUUGUCUAUGGAGCAACUUUAAUGUCAGUAUACAUACAUUGAAAUAUUGGUUUGUGGUCUUUUAAAUUACGAAUACAUAUGUUGUAUCUCCAGAUUACAGAAACUGGAUUGUUCUAGGUAGUGACCAUGUUACGUGGUGACUGUGACGUAAGGACAACCCAUGGUUCAGGUUUGCCACUUGUGUUUUACUACAUUUUAGUGUAGUUCGUGUAUGUGUAAUUUAAAUUUAUAGCUUUGAAACCACAACUUGUGAAUCCUAGCACCACCACUGGUUUGAUGUCAAUAUGCCUAGGACUAAAACAUAUAUGAUCACUAGUGCCAGACUACAAUAUAUUUGUAACUGUAGUUCUAUCACUACAAAGGGAAAUUGGACUACUAAUUGCAAUCCUGAAUAUUAUUUCUUAUCUACCAUACAUCUAUAUUUGUUCCCACCUAAGUUGUACAAAAUAACACUUUUCUUGCAUGUGAAAUCCUCAUACUGCUUCUGGGAGACAAGACUGGUCACGACUAGAUUAGGUAAAAUAAUUCAUCAAAUACUGUGUGUGUAAAUUACAUUACCUUGCUUCAUAUAUAUAAAACACUAUUUCUAUUAACAUGAUGAAACUUAAUUAUGGAAUGAGGUGAGUUGGUUUAGUACGCUAAUAUCUACUUUCAGCCGCAGAUGUGUGAUACUUUCCAAAUCUGUCCAGUCUCGGUUUUGUGAACAUAUCACACCAUGUUCACACAUGCUACUGCGUACUAGUCAUAAGUUUAUUCGAUAUCAAUUAGAUAUGUAUUUUAGUGUUUAAAUUAUAACUGAAAUAUGUGUUGCGAUAUAACAUGAUAUCUAGUUAUGGGUGCAUAUUCUAUGUUAUCAAGCAAUCUGUGGUUAAAAAAAUUAAUGGUAGUUUUUCUUCCUUAGAGAUUAGAGAUGUACAUGUAGUGCGAGUUGAUGCUACAUUAGCAAAAUCUGACCAGUUGAUAUGACCACUAAAAAAGGCUAAAAUUAUUGGUCAUGCAGCCGGAUUAAUUAUCGCAUAGCCUUCAACGUUUGUUUGUUGCUCCUCUAAAUUUUGCUGCUCUAUUAACCCUUUUUCUACCGGAAGUUGAUCGCAUUUCUUUACUUUUGUAGAUUCCUGAGAUAUUGUGUCGAUGCAUGGCUCAGAUGUUGAUUGCAAGGUCGAGAAUGGUGUUGCUGCUAGAUAGUCUUAUCAUCGGAUUGCAAUGUUGAGAAUGGUGUUGCUGCUGGAUAGUCUUAUUAAAUAAAUUGUAAUUUAGAAUAGUUGAGACAAUGAUUGAAAGGUCCAGAAUUGUGCUACAACUAAUUAGUAUCACAACUUGUAAUCUUUCGAUCAUGUUCUUUGUAAUACAACAGAGGAAAUUUAAUAUAUUAUACCUUUCCCUCAA